rnacentral:rRNA from 1 species
CAGCAGCCGCGGGAAUACGGAGGGGGCUAGCGUUGUUCGGAAUUACUGGGCGUAAAGCGCACGUAGGCGGCUUUGUAAGUUAGAGGUGAAAGCCCGGAGCUCAACUCCGGAAUUGCCUUUAAGACUGCAGAGCUAGCAGGUGAGAGAGGUGAGUGGAAUUCCGAGUGUAGAGGUGAAAUUCGUAGAUAUUCGGAGGAACACCAGUGGCGAAGGCGACACACUGGCUCAUUACUGACGCUGAGGCGCGAAAGCGUGGGGAGCAAACAGGAUUAGAGACCCCUGUAGUCCCUGUCUCUUAUAC